rnacentral:rRNA from 1 species
GGUCAAGUUAUUAAGGGUGCAGGGCGGAUGCCUUGGCACUAGGAGCCGAUGAAGGACGUGAUAAGCUGCGAUAAGCUUCGGGGAGUUGCACGUAAACUUUGAUCCGAAGAUUUCCGAAUGAGGAAACUCACUUAGAGUAAUGUCUAAGUAUCAUUAAGUGAAUACAUAGCUUAAUGAGGGGAACUCAGGGAACUGAAACAUCUAAGUACCUGAAGGAAGAGAAAGAAAUUCGAUUCCGUAAGUAGCGGCGAGCGAACGCGGAUUAGCCCAAACCAAUAAAGUUUUCUUUAUUGGGGUUGCGGACAUAUCAUAACGAAGAGGUAUCGUAAUUGAAGAGGUUUG